rnacentral:lncRNA from 1 species
CUGGCAUGUCUGGAGAACAUUUCUCAGCAUGAGACAGCAGCCGAACAGCUGUACAAGAGCAAUGCAGCUUUAAUAGGUGGAAUUUUUUAAGAAACCAAAUGCUGUAGGUUACUCUGGUAGACAUAUGGUACCCUGUGGAAGUAUAGCUGUGCUUAUCUGGGGGUCAUUGGACAUGUUUUCAAGGUAUGCACUUGAUUCUGAGGUUGAAAGCCACUAAAACAAUUCUGGGGGGAUCUGAAAGCCAUGUGAGUGCAUAGUAUUUUUCUAAGUUACUAGCAAUAUUUUA